GAUGAACGCUGGCGGCGUGCCUAAUACAUGCAAGUCGAGCGAAGCGGGGACGGGUGAGUAAUACGUGGAUAACCUCCUAUAAGACUGGGAUAACUUCGGGAAACCGGAGCUAAACCGGAUACUUAUGCUUGGAUCCGAGCUGCAUUGGGUAGUUGGUAAGGUAACGGCUUACCAAGGCAACGAUGCAUCGCCGACCUGAGAGGGUGAGCGGGCAACCCGGAACGUGGACACGGGUCAGAAGCCCACGGGACGCAGCAGGAGGGAAUCGUCGGAAAUGGGGCGAACCCUGACCGAGCAACGCCGCGGGAGUGAAGAAGGGUUGCGGAUUGUAAAGCUCUGUUGUUAAGGAAGCGGUACUUAACCAGAAAGGGACGGCUAACUACGUGCCAGCAGCCGCGGUAAUAC
rnacentral:rRNA from 1 species